CCUACGGUAGGCAGCAGUGAGGAAUAUUGGUCAAUGGACGAGAGUCUGAACCAGCCAAGUAGCGUGAAGGAUGACUGCCCUAUGGGUUGUAAACUUCUUUUAUAAAGGAAUAAAACGAGGCACGUGUGCCUUUUUGCAUGUACUUGAUGAAUAAGGAUCGGCUAACUCCGUGCCAGCAGCCGCGGUAAUACGGAGGAUCCGAGCGUUAUCCGGAUUUAUUGGGUUUAAAGGGAGCGUAGAUGGGUUGUUAAGUCAGUUGUGAAAGUUUGCGGCUCAACCGUAAAAUUGCAAUUGAUACUGGCAGUCUUGAGUACAGUUGAGGUAGGCGGAAUUCGUGGUGUAGCGGUGAAAUGCUUAGAUAUCACGAAGAACCCCGAUUGCGAAGGCAGCUUACUAACCUGUGACUGACAUUGAUGCUCGAAAGUGUGGGUAUCAAACAGGAUUAGAUACCCGGGUAGUC
rnacentral:rRNA from 1 species